ACACAACAUUGACAACAACUGCUUGAUCUGGUCGCGCGGGGCAGAAGGAACUGUUCUGGCGCAGGCAGCAGGUAUAAAUCCAAUUACAACGAAGAUAGAUAGAAAUCCUGUCCUGCUAUUUCUCAGCAGACAUGGAAGAUAAGUCUAUCUUUGAGCAGGAGUUAAGACGACAGACGACUCCCGCCAUCAACCAAAAGCGGGCAAGUUAAAAACAGCAGAAACAAAUGAUCAAGAUGAAUUAUACGACCGACUUCUUCAGCGACAUAUACAAUACAGCACCGUAUCAGUAAGCUGUUUGUAACACACGCAGAGGAUUUUGCCAUCGCGUCUAACGGAGUUCUUCCCGCGGACUAUUUCUGGAAUUCGAUCGUUAUCAUGGAAAUGUACACUGACGUCCUACUUGUCACUGCAAAUGUUGGAUCAUUAUUCGACAAUGUGGGUGAGAUUGAGAGUGACUGGAUGCGAGAAUUCUUUGGGACAGUCCAGAGUCACAAACCACGCUUCAUCGCCCUGCAUUUCCAGGAGGUUGGAGGGAAGGACUACAUGGUCAACAUGGGCCAUGCAGAGAACUUCUUUUGUAACAUUGAGUCCAAUGAGGAGAUGAGGGACUUUGACAGGGUCUGCACCUAUGUGGACAACCACUUCAAGAACGUGGACAGCUUCACUGCCUUGGGAAGCAUGUACUUCAUCCAUAAGUCAUUGAAAAACAUCUACCAAUAUGAUUUUAAUGUUAAGGAUUUCAAAGCAGUGUCUGGACAGAACAAGUAUGUAGGCUCCCUGGAUGAAGUAACCACAGUGGAGAAAGAAAAAUUCCUGAAGAAUUUCUGGCCCGAUUUCAAAUGGUCUAGGAAGGGCUUUAUGAGGACCCGGUGGAUCAUUCACAACCAGGGUCUGGACCUAGUCAACGUACACCUCUUCCAUGAUGCCUCCAACCUCAUUGCCUGUAACGCCAGUCCCUCCAUUUACUCAGACAACCGCCAGAAGGCCCUGAGAUAUGUCAUCAACAGGAUAUCAGACAGCAGCUACACCCCACUCCCCUUCUUCCUGUUUGGGGAUUUCAACUUCCGCCUGGACACCCUUAGCCUGGUCCAGAACUUGUCCACUUCAGCAGUGGUGCAGACAGUGAAGAAGGACAGCAGUAAUGAGGUGGAAAAAAUUAUCUGUGAGCAAAAGGACAAUGACCACAAGGUUCUUCUCCAUAUUGAGACCAAGAUAUUUGCCUACCUGCACCAGGCAGUGUUCACAGAGGACAACGGCAGAGCGAUUCUGAAGUAUGACAAGGAGAUCUCAGCCUUUCAAGAUGUCAUUACAGAGGAAGACAUUCUGUUUCCACCCAGUUACCCAUACUGUGAGGACUACACUAAACCCACCCAGUACAUGAACACUCGCUGCCCCUCCUGGUGUGACCGCAUUCUCAUGUCUCACACUGCCCAAGAUAUCAUCCACAGGAGAGAUGAGGGAGCGAGCAGUGUUGUUUACAACACAAUGGGCCCUAAUGUCUGCAUGGGAGACCACAAGCCUGUCUUCUUGUCCUUUGCACUGAAGACGAAUGGCCAUUGACAAGGAUCCCGCUCAAUGCUACACCAAGCCCAAUGUGGGACCUCUGUUCAUUCAGUACCAGACAGAUCGCCGGCCAGAGAGACAUGCAUCGUGCAGAGCAGUGUAUUGGCAUUUUUACACCCGUGAUUUUGUUUUGCUGCCUGUUAUAUGGCUUUUUCAUAGGAUGGUUCUCUCCUCUAUGAGGAUUCCUCUUCAGGAGGAUCUAAAGGUGAUGAAAGCCAUUUCAGAAAGGAAACACCACAUAAAAAUAUGUUUAACCAUUUAUUAAAAAAUUAAUAAUGCAAGUCUUGGUGAUAUAGGCUCUGCUCCUUCAGGGUAGCUCACAGCCCAAGCAAAGCAUCAAUAUAUAAAAUGACCUACAAGCAGUGAGCGUGGAUGGCUAUACCAAUCCACCAGCAGGAAAACAGAAUCUAACAGGUGGAAGCUGGUUUGGUGGUGGGAGCAAACGCAUACUAGCAGUAGCAGCAAGCGGCAGUAGGAUGUUUGAACAGAUCCCGUCAGUUUCAAUGGACCGCCAAAUAAGGUAUGCCAGUAUCUAUCCAACACAAGUCCCACUGGCCAUCACCAUCACACUCCCACUCCAUUAUCUGUACCAGAGGAUAAACAGAACAGCUCCUAGCCAGUCACGGGACCCAGCCUCUCCCUGAUGUACAUGCAGUCAGUCAGUAUCCACCCAACCAGGUUUCUCAUGUUCUCUUCUCCUCUCACUCCAAGUUAUUGAUUGCCAUGGCUUGGGUGACAUCACCACAGAUUUGAUCAUCAGCAUUAUGGAUUUUUUUUGACGGACAAUUUGCUCUGUCCUGUGCUCGGCCAUAUAUCUUAAAUUGUCUGACCCCAAAAUACACAGAGAUGCAGGGGUAUUUUCUGGAGUCCUACCUUCAGUGCUCGACCAUUGGAACCAGAGUAUGUGUGGCAGUUUGCUGGAUGGAAUAGGGCCAACGAAAAGACAAUGUGGGACUGCUGGUCUUGUCAUGGAGGGCACCGGUCUGUCCCAAUGGGAUUAAAGAGACAUGUGAGGACAUACACACUGGCAUCUUGCCAAGUAAAUACCCUAACUUCAGCUGAUCAAACGGUUUUCAAGUGUCAAGGGUCUACGGUUAAGUAUUCCUUCUGACAUCCCUGAAUGGAAUAUGCAUGCAUGCUUUUCAGUUGUAUUUUAGUAGUCUUUCAUUUUACCUAUUUAUUUUCUAACUUUUAACUGGUUACUAUCAAUAUAAGUAUGCUUAAAUCAAAUAUUCAGAAACACAAUAAACAAAAGCUACUACAGUAUUUCAAUGCACCGUCAGCAUGUUUGGCCAGGUUGCGUCCCUCUUCAGAAUAGAGCAGUAGCAUAAUACACAUUUCUCUGUGCAUUC